UCUAGGGUGGCAAGACAUAGCCUUAUAUAUUACAUGCGACAAUAUAUGGCGCAAUGACUUAUGGGGCUGGCAUAGAUUUUUUUUCCAGGGCUGCUUUGGAAUCCCCAGUCCGGCCCUGUGUCAGUCAGUAUGUAUGUGUGUGUGUGUCAGUUUGUAUGUCUGUAUGUGUGUCAGUAUGUAUGUGUGUCAGUCAGUAUGUAUGUCUGUGUGUGUGUCAGUAUGUCUGUCUGUGUGUCAGUUUGUAUGUCAGUUUGUAUGUCUGUAUGUGUGUCAGUAUGUCUGUGUGUGUGUCAGUAUAUAUGUCUGUGUGUGUGUCAGUAUAUAUGUGUGUGUGUGUGUGUGUGUCAGUCAGUAUGUAUGUCUGUAUGUCUGUGUGUGUGUGUGUCAGUUUGUGUGUUUGUAUGUAUGUCGGUGUGCCAGUCAGUAUGUCUGUGUAUGUGUCAGUAUGUAUGUCUGUAUGUCUGUGUGUGUGUCUGUAUGUAUGUCGGUGUGCCAGUCAGUAUGUCUGUCACAGUGUCAGUAUGUAUGUCUGUCACAGUGUCAGUAUGUCUGUCACAGUGUCUGUGUGUGUCAGUAUAUCUGUUUGUCUGUGUGUCAGUGUGUGUAUCUGUAUGUUGUCAGUAUGUAUGUAUCUGUGUGUGUGCCAGUGUGUAUACCCAGGGCAGGUGCUGCCUCUAAGGCGAACUAGGCAGCUGCCUAGGGCGCCAUGUAGGAGGGGUAGCCCUGCGCCCCCAUCGCCAGCCCUUUAAAUACUGCAGCCACCUGAGCGCUCUGUAGAGAGCGCUCAGACGGCUGCCGCACUGCCUCUCUCCUCACCUCCCCUUCCUGUAGCGUAGCCGAGCUCCUCUCCGGACCGCGGUCCUGGCCGGACUGACAGGAAGUGCAGCUCUGGCGUUAGUUUAUAUGGCAGAUCAUAUGGG